ACAAAAUCUUUGCCUUACCAUGCCUGUGUCCCUCAUGUGUGCCAAACGGUGGCCAACAUGGAAGCUGGUUGGUUGUCUGCCCCUAUAGUUCCGUUCUCAAAGUGUGCGGUAUGCUUUUGUGACCUCACCUCCAUGUAUGCACAGCCUAGGGGUGAGCUCAGGGGUUCAUAAGCAGCAUCAUGGGUUGCCUUCCUGAGCUUCUCCCUUUUUACAAUCAUUUUGGUACUUGUGGUUACAUGGACCCCUCCUCCUUUUGGUCAUCCAACCCCAGAGGUAGAGCUUUAGGUACCCCCUCCUGCUGCCUACUUCUUACAACUGUAUCUACAUCUGGAGCCAACUAAUAAGAAGACAAAAAAGAAGAAAACUCUGUGACACAAAGGUUGUACAGACCACCCCACCUGCCCACUUGUAGCCGUCUAGUUUCCAGCAGUGUAAGAAGUCCUGCCGUUACCUUCAUUAGAAGACCAAAGCUAAAGAGCAUGUUCUUGUGAAAAAAGCAUUUGCAUUGUUUGUGAAAACCCUUUGGGGCAGAGCUGUAGAAAGCCAUGUAACAGUAAAAGUAAUAGUAAAUAAUUCUUUCGUUAAACGUAAAAAAGUGUUACGAAGAGCCAAAAAUUCUCUUCUUAACGUUUGAUUCUUACAACAGUAAUUUGACAAUAGAUAUCUCCCAAGGGACAUUAAGCUGGAAGAAAAACAGCUACAAUUUCACAACUUUAGAUGAAAGCAAGUGGAGAUUGAAUGACCAAUCUUAAGAGUCAGAAGAAAUGCUACCAAGAAAGAAAAAAAAAAAAA